UGAACAAUAUUGCAUAAUUUAUGUCCUACAAUAAUUUGCUGAUUGAAGUCCCUGUAAAGUGAAAAUAGCAUCUUAUAAAUUUAACAUCACAGAGAAGAGUGUUGACUGCACUCAACUUUUACCUGUCACUCAGAUACGUUCCUGUAAAUACCGUACAUGUGUGCUCAGUUAUCUAUGUGUGCGCUGCCGCUAUAUUUAGUUAACUUUCAGUGAAGUGUCUUACGUGGACCCACACACAACACAAAACGUUGGAAGAUGCCGGUCCACACUCCACAGGCUAUUGAGGCCCGCUAAACCUAUAGCUUGCCAGCUCCAUAGCCCACGGCCCACCGUUUCCACUGUAUUUGCCUUCAUGCUGACUUUUAAGUGUAGUGAUUUAAUUUUACGAGUUUAAUGGAUGUAACUGGUAAAGGGAUGUCACAUAAGAGAGGGUGAAAAGUGGUACACUUGCCUGUAUCCUGUGCCGCAUGCAGGAUUUAGUUCUCACUCCAGAACAACAUAAAUGUGAAUUGUUGUCUGGGUUUUGUGAUUAGACCAGGGUGUAAUGUAGUCUGCCUUUCUCCAGGUGCAAGCCAGGCUAGGCGCCAAACAGCUCUUUGACUCUUCACGUCUUCAAAAGUAGCCUCCUGGAUGUACCACCUUGGGCUUUAGGAAAGUGGGUAAUAAAAAUGACAGAGCCAAGUGGAAUGAAUAGGGAGGUUGCUCCUGUAAGGCAAUGUUCUUCUCAGCCAGGACUUGUCAGAUGCUCAAAGUAUAGUGAGCAGACACGUUAUGAUCGGAAGAUCAAUCAUUGAACUUUGGUACUAACUUGUGUUCAUUAUACAAUUCUUUGUCUUUUCAGCAGGGGGUAGUGAAACGGCAUAGAAACCAUCAUUGCGCCUGAGCGCACAUUUUAGUCCCACAAUAAUUAAGCCUGUUGAAGUCUGUGCAUUUGAGAAAACAGGACAGAUGAAUUAUUACAACUAUGUGGAGUACAGUACCCAGACGUGUAUUUUCUCAUGCCGCGUGUCAUGUAAAUGUAGCAGAAUUUCAACGCACAGAAGACAUUAACACCAUCUAUGAUUCAUAGAUGGAAGUCGUCAUGUAUUAAUUCGUAUGAUUACAUAAGGCGUGCUCUUUCUCAACCGUCCGCGAAGACAGAGCUACUUCUUUAUUUGUGUAAAUAUAUUUUGGCAUAAAGUUAAACUCGCUUCCUCUAAUUCCUAUAUUUUUUCACUCACACUCCCAGCAUUGUAAAUUCAUAUCUACCGCUCUCAUCCCUAUUGCAAAAUACCCUCUCCACAGCAGACCCAACUGUGAUGCCUAUUUCUAUUCUUAAGUAUAAACAACAACAAAUAAGCCUAAAACACUUCAAUUUAAGGUAACUGUUGGACAUCAGAGCCCAGACAAGCCCGACUAAGGCGUCGCCUGAGGAGAAGAGAGAAGUACUCUGCAAGGAAACGAGAGCAGAUAGCGAGCCCGUGAUGAUGAAACUCUAGUGCAAGAAACAUUUGUAAACCACACCAUGGUCUCCAACUUGUAUGAAACGCUGUUCUUGCGUGGAAAAAUACGUUCGCCGUAUCACUCGUGUGUAAAUUCACGGCAGUGUCAAUUCAUAGAACAUAUUUAUUCCUCAACCAGAGUCACCGGUCGACCAGUGCGACCUUUGAUUAAAAUUCAUCAUGAUGUUCUGUGAGAGUCGGCAGCGUUCAGAUGAUUUAUGCAUUGAUUAAAACUGUAAUUGCUUGACUUAAUUCAAUCGCAAAUCACAUGUCUGACCUCAACUGCGCUGAGCUAUGAAUUCCGAUGCAUUCAUCAACAUAAGAAGUUGCAUUUUGCCCAAGAAGCAGCACACAACACAAAUGUGUACAAAUUAUAUCAUCAAGUGUAUUGUUAUUUUUUGAUGUUGUAUCUUUAUGCACGUCCUGUACACAUAUUGAGAUCCAUUUCACAUGAACACUAUACAAUAGCAACGAGUGAGGGAUGGAAUAUUUUCCGAGCGCAGAACAGCUCACGUCGAAUGGCACUUUUCAUGAAAGUAAAAAAAAAGUAA